CUCAGACCGCAGCGUCGGCCGAGAGGACGCCGGGAUACUGGCCAGCUCCAAGUCGAAAGGAAGCGACGCAUGAGUUGUUUGGUGCGAAUUUUAAACGGAAGAACGCAGAAGAAUUCUCUUUAUGUUACCUUUAUUUAGCAACAAAUCAACUUGACUCAACUGAUACUUACUGAGUGCCUUUAAAGAUGGAGUCUCGCUCUGUCAUCCAGGCUAGAGUGCAGUGG
rnacentral:lncRNA from 1 species